rnacentral:tRNA from 1 species
GGCAAUAUAGCAUAAUGGAUGAAGAACCAGCCUUAGAAGCAGGAAACAGGGGUUCAAGUCCUCUUUCUGACA